CGAAGGGCGUAGCGUUGCUCGGAAUGACUGGGCGUAAAGGGCGCGUAGGCGGUUUAUGCAGUCAGAUGUGAAAUCCCCGGGCUUAACCUGGGAACUGCAUUUGAGACGCAUAGACUAGAGGUCGAGAGAGGGUUGUGGAAUUCCCAGUGUAGAGGUGAAAUUCGUAGAUAUUGGGAAGAACACCGGUGGCGAAGGCGGCAACCUGGCUCGAUACUGACGCUGAGGCGCGAAAGCGUGGGAGCAAACAGGAUU
rnacentral:rRNA from 1 species